GUUCCUGUAGUGUAGUGGUUAUCACGUUUGCUUCACACGCAAAAGGUCUCUGGUUCAAAACCAGACAGAAAUG
rnacentral:tRNA from 1 species